GACGAACCGUGCGAACGUUGUUCGGAAUCACUGGGCUUAAAGGGCGCGUAGGCGGGUGCUCAAGUCCGGGGUGAAAUCCUCCAGCUCAACUGGAGAACUGCCUCGGAUACUGGGUGCCUCGAGGGUGGCAGGGGUAUGCGGAACUAUCGGUGGAGCGGUGAAAUGCGUUGAUAUCGAUAGGAACUCCGGUGGCGAAGGCGGCAUACUGGUCCACUUCUGACGCUGAGGCGCGAAAGCCAGGGGAGCAAACGGG
rnacentral:rRNA from 1 species